CAGUUAAAAACAUGGAAAUUAAAUGCUCAAUUAUUGUUAGAUGUCAAAACAAGAAUUAGAAAAAUGCAGCUUUGAAUUUUAUUCUGCAUUUAUGAAUUAUUGGUCACUCACAUUUAAGCAGAAAAUCACUUUACGACUGCUAUUUAGGCUGAGAAAUAUACAGCAUGUUUAGGUAGUAACUGAUAAAACUUCAUGCGUACAGGAUGCACAAAUUGAAGAGACUGAGUUUUCUGAGGCAGAGAAAAGACCAGGAAGCAUGUCCACUGUGAUACAGCUGAAAAUAUAACAGCAGCUCUCAGCAUCUCACUUUCAAAACUUCAAUAUUUUGAAGUAAAGAGAGAGAUGGAAAAUAUUCAAUUGUCCAUGGAACUCUUUGUUGUUCCAUCAGUCUCUUUCAAUCAAACCCUAAUGAACCAGGUCAUUUCAUCCACUUGAACCACUAUCAGCAGAAGAUUGGAGCAAUGGGGACACUAGAAAACUCCGUGGGAUCUUCCCCCCUCUGUGUCCCUCUCCACAUUCCUUUCCUUCUGCUCAAUGUAUCUGGUGAGGGCAGCUCUCAUCAGUGGGUCCUCUCUCCCAGUAUUCCCCCCCAUCUUGAUUUGAUGUAGGCAUGCAGAAUGGCAAGAGUCUCUGCAGUGCCUUUAUCCUCUCCCAUAGCUGGCUUUCUUCCUACUACUAUACUACUGUGAUGGCACAAAGCCAUAAGGAUAGUCCAGAGGAUCUGGCUUGCUCUUUAUUCUUUUUUCCCUCCCUGAUAAUUAUUUCUCCCAUUUGCUUAUUCUCGCAUUGCAUCUGAUUACUUUUUUUUUUAUGAUUCCACUUUGCUUUUGUCUUCAAUUUGCUAAAUCCUACUCUGCAUGUUGACAAAUGUAAACUGAAACUCACAGCUAUCUCAGUCUCUGAAGUCUCAGCUGUGCCUGAAGACAUAGUGAUUCAGACAUCAGGAUUCUUCCUGUUCAUUUUGUUUUCCAGCUAUUGGCAUGUAGAAUGAAGUGGAGGAGCAAGGAUGGGUUUCUGGAAGGUAUCUGCAAGCUGAAGUUUUAUUAGAUUUUUUUUUUUUUUUUUUUCAGUUAAUUGUGUAUGUCUUCAUCCCUGAAAAAAAGACACCCUGUGUCAAGGAAAACAUGAUUGAAUCCUGAACACCAGCAGCAGAACAGAUCCUGCUAUCAUUCAGCUGGAACCAGAAGAAACAAAUCAGACAAUGACUGUGGCAUCAGAGAUCCUCUCAGCUCUCAGGCACGGCACUAUCCAGGAUUGUAAAGAAUAAAGAUGAAACAGAUUAAAGAUGGGUGGAGGGAGGUACUAACUUCCUUCCAUGUCCUUCAUGAAAGCCUGGCUUUUUCUGCAAGAUGGGGAAUAAAUCACUGCUUAGUGCACAGAGGAGAGGUUUAUGUGGUUGUGUAGAGCCCAGCUUGAUGUAAUUGCACAGGUUACAUUCUCUGAUACUUUCUAGAUAGAAUCUGUUAACAAGUGAAUCCUAGACUAAGUUACUGCUUUAAAAAUCUCAUCUUGUAUGUACUGAAGGGAAAAAUCUUUAUUUCUGAAGCUAUUUUACUGGAGUGAACUGUAACUGAGAGGAUUCCCUGGAUUGCCUGUAAAAAAUCAUCACCAUAUGUAGGAGAAAUGUUGAUAGAUUAGAAAAGUGAUGAUAGAUUAGAAAGUCAGUGUUUUUAGGUGUUUGUUUUAGUUUUUCCCCACAGCCUGUACAAUGCCUCCAUGUUCCUAUUAAUUUCUUUUGGUUUAGUAACAUCUUAAUUCAGAGUAUUAGAAGUUGAUUUUUCUGAUUAAAAAAGGGUAAAAAUUCUGAGGAUCUCUUGUGGUUCCAUAGGGAAAGUUACAUCUUUACACAGAUAGAACAAACCUUUGGCACUCCUGUUCCAUUUCAGUAAAGUUAAGGUUCCAGAAGAAUGUGGGCUAAUGUCCUACAUGAUUAAUGCAUGCUUAAGGAGUAGCCUAGUGCAGCCACCACAGCAAACCAAACCCCAUACAGCAGCCUUGUUCAGUCCUUUCAAUAUGAAUGGCCAAAUGUAUUUCAGAAACCCAAAGGAUCACAAUCAGUCUGAAGCAGAUUGUCUGCUUUGUAGAGAGCAGAGAUUGCCCACAUGUUCCCCACAGGGGAUUCCCCUGGUGAAGUGGAAGUCCCCUGCAGCAUUAAGUCUGAGUAGACAUAUCCUGCACUUUUUUUCCUGAAGAUGCUGGCCAGACUGCCUGCUUUAGUCUAUACUUGAAAGGAAUAAGGGGGAAUGUCUGCAGUUUGAUAAGCUUAAGUCAUCCCUUCUGGUUUAUGGCACCUUCUAAUGCCAAUAAGGCAGCUAUUGGUGGCUAAGUUCCAAGGAAAAACAGUAAACUUUUGUCUUGUCCUGAAUGGUAACUGCUGUGGGGAAUAAAAGGCGGUUAUUGUCUUUAGGCCAAGGCAGACUCUGAUCAAAUCCUGUCUGCUCUUCCCUAAGCAACUCUUGCAGUGAAAAGAAAAAAGAACAGUGAGUGCCCAUCUUUUGCUUCAACCUGCAGUAAAGCAGGCAAUCAACAAAAGCAGCAGCUUCAGGCAGGGACAGGCACUCGAUGAUACCAUGAUGGUUUUGAGGCAGCAGAUGAACUCAUAGGGAGGCAGGGGGUAGGACCCUAUUGAAGCAUACACUUGAUUUUAAAAAGCUUCAGCACAAGUCUCAGUUCAAAAGAGACAGGGAUCUUCUAAGAAAGAGUGCAGCGGAGGGCCACAAAGAUGACAGUGGGCCUGGAGCAUCUCCCAUAUAAGAAAAGGCUGAGAGACCUGGGACAGUUCAGCCUGGAGAAGUCUGACAGGAGAUCUCAUAACUGUUUAUUGAUACCUGGGGUGUGGGAGUCAUGUUGAUGAGGGUGGACACACUUCAGUGGCUAGGAGUAGAAGAAGGAGCAAUGGACAGAACCUGGAACACAGAAAGCUCCAUACUAACGCAAGGAAGAACUUAUUUACUGUCAGUGUGAUGGAGCACUGGAACAGGCUAUGUGGAGAGGCUGUAGUCUCCUUUUCUGGAGACAUUCAAGAACCAUCUGGACAACUACCUGUGUGACCUGAGUGACUUGCUGUAGAGAACUUGCUUUAGCAAGGGGGUUUAACUUUUCUUCCCGAAUAUCCUUUCCACAGUUCAGGGCCCUAAUCAGUACUAGAGGACUUUUGGUCAUUCUUGGGCUCAAAUAAUCUCUGCCAUGCAAAAAUAACUCAGACUUUUUCUGUCAGUUGAGACCUGAGCAGAUAUGAGGUGAGAAUGCAUCUAAAUCUUAGCUUGGCUAAUGAAAUUCUCAGACGGGAUCAUAUGUUUCAAGUGAAAUUGAUCUGUACAGCUAGGUAUUAUUUAUACAGUGGAGGUACACAAAUAUUUGGCUGAGAAGUGUCUAUCUUAACCUAGUAAUUAGGAAGUUUCAAGGAACCAGCAAGAACAAGAUCUUCCACAAAUAUAGGUACCUAUCUCCACUUGGGACUUUUAGGUAGUGGUUUCCUAGAUUCGUCUCUUGUAAAUAAAUGAGCAGAAGACCCUUACACAUUUAAUCUUCUAGUGGUGAAGGCAUCACUGAGAAUGUAAGGAAUUGAGAUUUAAUUCUCUCUGCUGACUGAAAGGACAAAACCACUUGUUUAUACUCCCUGCAGUGUGUCUUAACCACUAUGGCAUUUUGUUGCCUUGUUUAUUUGUUCUCUCUCAUUGCAUCUCUUCUUCUACCUAAAAAGUAUCUGUGUCUACACUGGAUUGGAGCUGCAAAUGUGAGAGGCCUAACAAACAGCCUAAAAGUCAUUCUGCAUCUUUUGAUCUUUCACUCUUUUAAUAUUUAAUGAUCCCAUUCAAAUUGAACAGCAUUAGCAAAAGAAAUUAAGAAGUCUCACAUCCCCUUCCCAUGUCAUGGUCUGCUUUCAAGGCAGCAACCUGAAAUUAUGUAUCCCUUCAGGAAAACAAGUGCUUUGUGCCCAUGUCUCUGCCAUUCCUGGUGAGAAAUUUAACUGCUUCCCAGUGUUGUUUUAUUUGUUCUACCAGACCAGUAUCUGCAAGUGCUAUAGAAAAAUCAUAAUCAGACUUAGAAAUAGGAGUCAAAUUGCUCUAUGUGAUAGAGAGUUUGGGCUUCUACUCUCAAAAUCAAAGAUAUCACUUACCUAGAAAUAGAAAAUACAACAAGGCAUCAUUAUCUGGAAAAACAUACUGUAAUAACAAAAUUCAUGUUACUGACUCAUACAACUUUAGUUGUCAUGUAGUUAUGUAUAAAGAAAUCCUGUUUUUCAGAUAAGAACAAUUAUCUUGAAAAAAAAUGCUGUUUGGGAAAAGCAGAAAUCAGUCACUCCCAAGAAUGCCCACUAAUUCAGCUAGCUGAUUAUAUUCCACAAUCAGACUGCCAGUGUUUAUUACUCCUUUGAAACAAUGAAAGAUAUAAUUUGAUUUUGGAAGAAUUUCAAUAAUAGCUUUUCAUUGCAGCUUGGAUCAUGCAGUUGUACUGGACCAGAGAUCCCUGUUGUGGGGAAUACCAGCUAAAUGGCUUGUAUUGCUACAUCUCCCACAAGGUGAAAUGCCAGAGAAGAUCUGAGCAUCAUGGCUGCCUCAACAUCUGCUCACAAUACCCACAAAUCUGGAUCAGAAAUUGGUUGACAAUUUAGAUUUAAUAGUCUAGCCAUUACAGGCUUUUAAAAUGCAUUGAUAAGAGCACAAAAGUUAAAGAAGGCAAGUGAAAAGCACACAGGCUUCCCCUCACUAUGGUAGGCUAGGAUAGGCCUAGAAGCAGAUGUACAUUUUCUUCAUGAAAGUUUACUUCAAACUCCUCUGAAAUCAGUGCAAACAUUUCUGUUGACAUUAAUGUAGUUUGGAUCAAAUCCUAAUUGCCACUACAGAAACUUUUUGUCAAUGCUAUACAUUAUUUGCCAUGUAUGUAUUUUAAUAAAGCAUCUCUGAAUGUAC